CAACUUCUUAGGUUAUAUGCUAUAAAAUUCAACUCUCACCCUCAACAUAAUACAACAUCCAACAUAUGUACAAAGCAUUACAUUGCUAUAAAGAAACCAAACAUAAGAUAUGAUAUGUGCUUCAUCAAAACUCUUGACAAACUCAGCCAAAACUUCAUGGCUGAAAGCAAACAACCAACUCCCAACUCUUCCUCGUCAACAUACAUAGUAAAUAUUGUAGUUGCUUAUCAACAGAGAUCCAUAUAUUGUUAUCCAGAUUGUUAGCACUUAAUUCCCAAGAAUCAAAGAGGCUCCUGCAUUGUUACAACUAUUGGACUUGUCACUUCAUGCUUCCCAUCUGACCAAACUAUGGAGCCACUUUUCACUAUGGAGUUCCCUGGUGAUAGCUUUAGUGCCUCUGCUUGUACUCUCACCAGAAAAUUAAGCUUCUGUCCAACUCUUCUAAAUGUCAGCUUCUCUGGCUCCACUGUCACCACCAUAUCCCUAGGUGGUUUCACGAUCACGUGGUACACUGAAUUGGGAUCUCCGACGUUUGUCACAGUCCUAAUGAAAUGUGUGGACAACUUGUGCUUUCCAUGUUGUUGGAACACUGCUGAAAGUGAAGGGUAAUUCAAAUUCCCCACAUGCCCUGCUCUUUUUGCCUUGCUACAAUCUGAAUACUUCCUUGUAACCACUUGAAUAUUCUUGGUUGUGUAAUUGGAAUUGCAGAGGAAAUCGACGUAGUCAUAGGAAGUUAGGUCGUAAAUCAAACCAGGGUCCAUUGCCUUCUGAGGGUGCACAUGUCCUGCCCCAAAAUCCAUCACAGACGACGAAUUUCCAGUUGAUUCAUCCAUCAUAAUUUGUCCCCUAUUAUCCACUGUAUAGGCAGUUGUCAUCAAUGCUGAUCUUAUAGCUGCUGGGCUCCAUCCCGGAUGGGCUGCUUUCAACAAUGCUCCUAGUCCAGAAACAUGUGGGCAAGCCAUGGAGGUUCCUGAUAAAAUGUUGAACUCCGUUCUACGCGUAUCCCAUGGAAGCCCGCUGGGUCCAACACCAUCAGGCCAAGCUGCAAGGAUGUUCACUCCAGGUGCAAUCACAUCGGGCUUCAGAAUUUCAGGUGACUCUGGGUUGGGGCCUCGGGCUGAAAAUGAUGCCACUACUGGUGCUGGCCGCACAUUUAGAAGAGUACCUCUGAAUAAAAUGGUUGCCGUUGGCGGUGACUUGGACUUUGAUGCUACCGAUAUGUACUUCCUUAUCUCAUCACCAGCAGAAGCCCCAACUGCUGUCGCAGGUAUCACGUGGCAAUCAGCUACUAAACCUUCACCAUCGAAUACUCCAUUGGCUAUUAUCAUCCCCAUUCCACCAGCUUUCUUCACCACUAAGCCUUUUGCAGCUCUCGAAUUGACGCCUCUGUCACACAAUACGAUUUUUCCCUGUACAUAAUUUGGGUUUAAUGAACCUUCUAAACACAGUGAAGACGAAUACCCAUCACUACCUUCACUUCCGGCGUAAAUUAAGGGGUAAAGUCGGUUCGGAGUUAACGCCGGCCCACCAUAUAUGCUCACUCCAGGAACUAUCCUACCAUUUCCAAGUUUGACAUCUGCAGGGAAAUCUCGGUCAAUUGUUCCGGCACCAACAUUGGUAACCCAAGGAGCGACAUUGGUUACUGUAAGGCCUCCUGGUCCGCCGUUUCCGGCAGAAGCAGAGACGAAGAUUCCGGCAUCGGUUGCAGCAAAGGAGGCAAUGGCGAUUGCGUCGAGGUUAUAGGGAACAACAACUCCGCCAACGCUCAGGGAGAUGACAUGGACACCAUCAGCAACGGCGGCGUCAAAUGCAGCCAGGAUGUCAGCGUCGUAGCAGCCUGAAGACCAGCAAACUUUGUAAGCAGCUAGACGAGCCUUUGGAGCCAUCCCAGCAGCAACACCACGAGCGUAACCAAGAGUAGACGCAGGAAAUACGUACCUCCCUACCGCAAUUGAAGCUGUAUGAGUUCCAUGACCAUCCGAAUCUCUGGGGGAUCGAAACUCUAUGGUUUCAUUCAUUUUCCCAUUUGUAGCCUCAUAUCCACUGGAAAAAUAUCUCGCUCCAAUCAAUUUCCGAUUGCAUGAGGUCGCCGAAAAGCCUCUGGCAGCCACACACUCCCCUUUCCACUUUGCGGGAACUGGACCAAGAUCACGAUCAUGGAAGCUCUUCCUCUCAGGCCAGAUCCCAGUAUCAAUUACUCCAAUAACAAGGUCGGACCCAUAAUCUGAUUCCUUGAGCAACCCAGCACUGUCAGCACUAGUCAGUCCAAGAAAUUCAGGGGAUCUCGUUGUUUGAAUAUGCCUAACUUGUUCAGGAAUAACACCCAAAACCCCAUCAAAAUCCUCAAGCUUCUGAGCAUCCAAAGUCGACAAUUUAACAGAAAACCCAUGAAAUACAUUACUAUAAGUGUGAAUAAUGCGAUUCGCACCAAUUUCUAACGAUUGGGUAUCCGCAGUAAGAGAUGUUAGAGUCGACUCGUACCAGUUCUCAUGGGUCGGAAAUAUAGAAGGUUUAGCAUCAUGUUGGACGUGAACUAUGAAAGUUCUAAUAAGGUCAUUUGCAGUUGAUGAAACUGAGCCAUUGAAUACUAAAAACGAAAGACAAAACAAGAGAAAUGAAAAAAUCGCCAUGAAAGAGGAGCAGAAAUAAUUUCAGAGUGAAAGAGAGGCAAGUGUGGUAGCUUUAGUACACACGAAACUGAGCUGCACAAAAGUGAG
rnacentral:misc_RNA from 1 species